GACAGAUCAUCCAAAAAAUCAUUUUCACUUUCUGAGGAUUGUAGAUCAUAAGAAACAGGUCCACAUUCUGAGGGAAAGUUAUCAAUGGUGGCCUGCAAUUGUCAUUACAAUGUAAAAAAAAGUCAUAUUCACAUAACGACAGAAAAUAUACAAGAAAAUAAGUUGAAACCAGGUAAUAUCCUAAAUAAAAAUGCAAAGGGUGGUACUCAAGUAUGUACUAUGAAUUAACCAAAGAUUGUGUGCUAAUGCCUCUACCGUCGUUUGAGUAUAGGAUCUCAAUUUCAAAAUUAAGCUACCCAAGCAAUAUGACUAUACAUUGUAUUUGUGACAAUCACACUACCUUGACAAAAACACUCGUUUUAAAGAGUCUCUGGCAACAAGGUCCAAAAAAAAAAAAAUCCUUAAUUUGAUAAGUUAUUGCACCCAAAACAACAAAAAUUAACAUAUUUAAAACAAAACUAAAUAAAACUUAAUGAUUUAGUGCGUUAUUAAGGAGACGUACAAGAAGAGUUGAAAAGAAAAAAAUUACCACCAGAGAAACAAAACAAAGUACUAACACGGAAUCUUAAAUAUUAUAACCGAUAGUUUAUAAACUCACCGAGUAUCUCAACAGAGCUUCAAGUAUCUGUUCGGUGUUUUGAUCUCCUACAAAAUAACACAAUCAUACAAAAAAGGAGUUGUAUGAGCAAAGCCAUAAGAUGCACAGUCCAAUAACUAUU
rnacentral:lncRNA from 1 species